UACGUAGGGUGCAAGCGUUGUCCGGAAUUAUUGGGCGUAAAGAGCUCGUAGGCGGUCUGUUGCGUCGGCUGUGAAAACUCGGGGCUCAACCCCGAGCCUGCAGUCGAUACGGGCAGACUAGAGUGCUGUAGGGGAGACUGGAAUUCCUGGUGUAGCGGUGAAAUGCGCAGAUAUCAGGGGGAACACCGGUGGCGAAGGCGGGUCUCUGGGCAGUAACUGACGCUGAGGAGCGAAAGCGUGGGGAGCAAACAGG
rnacentral:rRNA from 1 species